AGAUUGAAGGAGCUUGCUCCUGAUUGAUAAACAUUUGAGUGAGUGGCGGACGGGUGAGUAACACGUGGGUAACCUGCCCUAAAGUGGGGGAUAACAUUUGGAAACAGAUGCUAAUACCGCAUAAAACCUAACACCGCAUGGUGUAGGGUUGAAAGAUGGUUUCGGCUAUCACUUUAGGAUGGACCCGCGGUGCAUUAGUUAGUUGGUGAGGUAAAGGCUCACCAAGACCGUGAUGCAUAGCCGACCUGAGAGGGUAAUCGGCCACACUGGGACUGAGACACGGCCCAGACUCCUACGGGAGGCAGCAGUAGGGAAUCUUCCACAAUGGACGAAAGUCUGAUGGAGCAACGCCGCGUGAGUGAAGAAGGUUUUCGGAUCGUAAAACUCUGUUGUUGGAGAAGAAUGUAUCUGAUAGUAACUGAUCAGGUAGUGACGGUAUCCAACCAGAAAGCCACGGCUAACUACGUGCCAGCAGCCGCGGUAAUACGUAGGUGGCAAGCGUUGUCCGGAUUUAUUGGGCGUAAAGCGAGCGCAGGCGGUUUCUUAAGUCUGAUGUGAAAGCCUUCGGCUCAACCGAAGAAGUGCAUCGGAAACUGGGAAACUUGAGUGCAGAAGAGGACAGUGGAACUCCAUGUGUAGCGGUGAAAUGCGUAGAUAUAUGGAAGAACACCAGUGGCGAAGGCGGCUGUCUGGU
rnacentral:rRNA from 1 species